rnacentral:pre_miRNA from 14 species
GUCUACAUAGUGAGUUCUGAAAGACCCCCGGAGCGGGGAGACCCUCACUCUAGUCUCGGGAUGAUGCGACCCCCCAAGAACUCACGUGAGACC